UGGAGAGUGUAUUCUUUUCUAUCCACAUCGGAAAGGUGGAUGAAAGCAGUGCGUAUUCACAUCGGGCAGACAUCAGUCCACAGUCACUGUCUAAACCCCAGAUUAUGUUAACUAACGUUCCUGCUCUCUGUCACGGUACAAUCUGAAGGCGUCUUGAUGAUCUGAACUGAGGUGGCUUUGUAUUGUGACAACUUGACUGAACUGAAACUAUGUUUCCCAGAUUCCCUUCCCUGCAUAGCUCUGGGGUAGCGUCGGUCAUAAGACAUUUUGAGGCCAGGCACGGUGGCUCACGCCUGUAAUCCCG
rnacentral:lncRNA from 1 species